AGAUUGAAAUAAUAAGCCUAUUGUUUGAUUCAUUAGGAUCCUGGAGCCAGGAAGAGUGCUGACUGAUAGUGGCAAAUCAAGCCUAGCCCUCGCAGGAAGUUUGAUACAGAAUUCUGGCAGAUAUAGAAACCCGAAGCAGCCUAUACUAUCUUGAAAUUCUUGAACAGAAUACCAUUGACAAGGAGAAGAUGUGCAGGCCCUCUACUCUGGAAAGGACACACAGAGAAAGCCCACAUCCUCUUAAGAAGCAACCAGUCAAAACCACAUUGAAACAUGACAAAACCUGUGGAAGCCAGGAAAAAGCCCACCAAAACCAGACAAAACCURUGGACGCCA